rnacentral:rRNA from 1 species
CGGCGAACUGCGAAUGGCUCAUUAAAUCAGUUAUCGUUUACUUGAUAGACCCAUACUACUUGGAUAACCGUGGUAAUUCUAGAGCUAAUACAUGCGAAAAACCGCGACUUCGGAAGCGGUGUAUUUAUUAGAUUAAAGACCAAUGCCCUUCGGGGCUGACUGGUGAUUCAUGAUAACUUCACGAAUCGCACGGCCUUGCGCCGGCGAUGGCUCAUUCAAAUUUCUGCCCUAUCAACUUUCGACUUUAGUGUAGUGGACUAAAGUGGUUGCAACGGGUAACGGAGGGUUAGGGCUCGACCCCGGAGAAGGAGCCUGAGAGACGGCUACUACAUCCAAGGAAGGCAGCAGGCGCGCAAAUUACCCAAUCCCGACUCGGGGAGGUAGUGACAAUAAAUACUGAUACAGGGCUCUUUUGGGUCUUGUAAUUGGAAUGAGUACAAUUUAAAUCUCUUAACGAGGAACAAUUGGAGGGCAAGUCUGGUGCCAGCAGCCGCGGUAAUUCCAGCUCCAAUAGCGUAUAUUAAAGUUGUUGUGGUUAAAAAGCUCGUAGUUGAACCUGGGCCUCGCGCAGACCGGUCCGCCUCACCGCGUGCACUGGUCCUGCCGGGGCUUUCACUAGGGGAUUCGCAUGUCCUUCACUGGGCGUGUGCGGAACCUGGACUUUUACUGUGAAAAAAUUAGAGUGUUCAAAGCAGGCCUAUGCUCGAAUACAUUAGCAUGGAAUAAUAGAAUAGGACGUGUGGUUCUAUUUUGUUGGUUAUGGGACCGCCGUAAUGAUUAAUAGGGACAGUCGGGGGCAUCAGUAUUCAAUAGUCAGAGGUGAAAUUCUUGGAUUUAUUGAAGACUAACUACUGCGAAAGCAUUUGCCAAGGAUGUUUUCAUUAAUCAGGAACGAAAGUUAGGGGAUCGAAGACGAUCAGAUACCGUCGUAGUCUUAACCAUAAACUAUGCCGACUAGGGAUCGGGCGAUGUUACUUUUUGACUCGCUCGGCACCUUACGAGAAAUCAAAGUCUG